CGGGGCGUAGCGCAGCCUGGUAGCGCGCCUGGUUCGGGACCAGGAGGCCGGAGGUUCGAANNUCGAAUCCUCUCGCCCCGACCA
rnacentral:tRNA from 1 species